rnacentral:rRNA from 1 species
UACAUGGGGUGCAAGCGUUGUUCGGAAUUACUGGGCGUAAAGGGCUCGUAGGCGGCCAACUAAGUCAUACGUGAAAUCCCUCGGCUUAACCGGGGAACUGCGUCUGAUACUGGAUGGCUUGAGUUCGGGAGAGGGAUGCGGAAUUCCAGGUGUAGCGGUGAAAUGCGUAGAUAUCUGGAGGAACACCGGUGGCGAAGGCGGCAUCCUGGACCGAUACUGACGCUGAGGAGCGAAAGCCAGGGGAGCAAACGGGG